UACGGGGGGGAGCAAGCGUUGUUCGGAUUUACUGGGCGUAAAGGGCGCGUAGGCGGUCAGCACAAGUCAGUUGUGAAAUCUCCGGGCUUAACUCGGAAAGGUCAACUGAUACUGUGCGACUAGAGUGCAGAAGGGGCAACUGGAAUUCUCGGUGUAGCGGUGAAAUGCGUAGAUAUCGGAAGGAACACCAGUGGCGAAGGCGGCUUCCUGGACUCAUACUGACACUGAGGUGCGAAAGCGUGGGGAGCAAACAGG
rnacentral:rRNA from 1 species